UUUUUUAACUUUUUUUAUUUAAAUAAGGAGAAUUCUUUCAUAUGGAAAGAGCUAGUACAAUCACAUAUUUGAAAGGAGAAACAAUAGGUACUGAACCGGAGGGAAAGGGCGAGGGUGAGUGUGCCAGCACCGGCCUGGUGAAUCCACGAUUCCAUUUCCCAUCCAAGGUAAGUUUCCCGAAAUAACGUAUAAACAAGCUGCACAUUACACCUCUAGCCAUCGUCUGCCCUUUCAAAUAUCUGGUCUACAUGGAAAGACAAAGAGGAAAGGCCAAAACAUAAACAAAAGGAAACAAAAACAAAACACAACCCUCUCAGGAACCAAACAAAACCCCCAAAUCCUUUUUUACUACACAAGGCAUGAGGUCAAAAGCUUGAGUACAGUGUCCCCUUUAGAUCAUGGGAGAAAGGCGUCCACACAGAGCCUUAGCAGGAAUUUCCACUCUGAGGCUUCAGAACAUGCUGAAGAUGGGGCUCUGAGGGUGCCACUACCAUCCUGGAGGCCACCAAGUGGGGUGGAGACAGUGAAGAGCAGGUCUCACAUGCCCGAAGACCACCAGCCAAAUACACAUUGGUGGCCCUGGUGGAGCAUGGCUGGGCGACAGUGUCCAUCCCCAACACUGAGCCACUCCUGUCCUGGAUGACUUCCUGCUUAGGUCCGUCACAUUUCAGAAGAGAGCUGGCUUUCUGGAAGCCUACGUUUCCCAUUCAUCACAGAACACGACAGAGUGCACACAUCCUGGUAUCCUUGGUCUUCAAAGGCCAUUUCCAGCAGACCCUCUAACCCAGGCUUGCUCUGCAGGAAGUGAAAAGGGACAAAUGAAGAUGUGAGGGGCAGCCUGCAGCUACUUGGCAGAGGGGAACCAAAUGGCAAGGGAGAAGGCUCCACCAGAGCUGCCAUGCUGCCGUAGCAGGCCAGACCACAGCAUGGCCGUGCACCUGUGUGUGCUCAGCUUCCAGAAGCCGUCACUGACCAUCCCGAAGGCAGAUCCAGAAGAUAGGAGGGUGACAGCACGGCUGGAGAGCACUGAUGUCAGCGUUUAACAGGGUUCCCCAGUGUCCCUAGAAGUGGCUGGAAGGACCACAGCUUUGGAACUGAACUGAUUUUCUUGAAUGUGAAAUAAAGUCAUCUUUUGUUUUCCCCCCUAAGGAACCUAGAGCCAGAGUGUCUAUGAAUUCCAAGUUUGAAAACAAUACGAAUGUUUAAAAAAAAAAAAAAAAGCUGUGGGGAGAAGCCAACAGUUAAGAAAACCAAAUCAAAUGCAGCUGGCAUUGCAGUCCCCAGUGGGUGGGUGGGCAUUUGAGAUGUACACCCACACUCUGGGCUUCAUCCCACUCUAGUGGACGGUGGACAAUACCGCAAGGCCACUGGUUGCUGAGCAACGAGCCGCAUCCCCAAUGACCAAGGCAGAGCUGCCAGCGUCAGGAGGGCAACUUUAACAGGCCAAAGUGAGUGGGUUCUGACCCCCCAAUCCCUACCUCAGCAGCAGGAAAGGGAAGUGCUGGUCUCCACCUGUUCCCACUAAGGCCCCGUGGUAUCCUGGCAGAAGCCUCUGCAUGUAUCUGCGCUCUGACGAUGGGGGUUUGAAAACAAAAUAAGACCCUACGUCCUACUACCUUGAGCUUGGCUCUAAAACCACGGGAAAGGAAGAGAUAUAUUGCACCUUAAAACGUCUCUGCACUAAGAACUGCAUUUCAUUAGACCAAGGAGGGGUUGGGGCGCUGGGAGGCCUGAGGCCUGCCCUCAGCCCCCCAAGUCUGAUUUAAAACCUGCAUCUCAGCGAAGAGACUGCAGCUCAGGUCACACAGAGGUGGUGACUGCACCGAACUUCACAUGCAAUUUCCUGGCCUUUCCUGCACAGAAUUAAUUCAGACAUUAUAUAUAAAUAGAGCAGUGAAACAUUUACUUCUUUUUUUUUCACCUAGACCUACAACAUCAAUACAUAUAAAUAAAUUCUAGUGUUUUUUGUUUUUUUAUUUGGGGUGGGGGAGGAGAAAGGAAGGAAAUACCAGGUAAGAGAAAAGGGCUGGAGAACAGGUGACCUUUUUGUUUUUAUUUUUUCUCAAACAGCAAGUACUGUGGGUCUGAUGCCAGGUUCACCUGAAGGGUACAUCUUAACAGCAUCCAGAAGGCUUUCUUUUUGACAAAUCACACGCACCACCGCGUCAGGUGGGAGGGGUCUGGCCAUGCGGCUCAAGUGUCCAGGUGGAGAUGAAUGUGUGGCUCCCGCAGGCCUGGACUCACCCAGGAAUGGCUUGGCAAGGAGGGCUGGUGGGGACAGAGAGGGCUCAUCCCAGGCCCCACAAGCAGCCGCUUGCAGUGGGAGAAGGAAAAGCAGACAAGAAGCUCAGGUAGGGAAUGCCUGGAACUGUCGGGUGGGCAGCCCCUGGGGAAGGGACUCAAGCAUAAAGGCUUGGGAUAAAGAGGGAAAAGACCAGGUGAGGGCAGGAGGGGAGCUGCUGAAAGAUGCAGGUGAACAGUAAAGCACCUUUCAGUAAAACUGCCCUUUCCCAGGCAGCUCUGGGGUGGGCGCUGUUGGUAGGAGGCCGUUCUCCUGCUUCCUUAGAAUUGUGAGAGCAGUAAGAAGUUACUUCAGCAGUUCCUAAGAUGCUCCUUCCCCAUGUUCUACACUAGACACAGAGCUUAGAGCCCAAGCCUGAGCGCUGUCCUGCACCCGUGAGACGCUGAAGGCAGCCUCUGGUGGGAGGUGCAU
rnacentral:antisense_RNA from 1 species